CCAAAAUUGGGUUGUGGGGGGACAGUGUCCCCAAAAUUGGGCUGUGGGGGGACAGUGUCCCCAAAAUUGGGCUGAGAGGGGACAGUGUCCCCAAAAUUGGGCUGUGAGGGCACAGUGUCCCCAAAAUUGGGCUGUGGGGGGGACAGUGUCCCCAAAAUUGGGCUGUGAGGGCACAGUGUCCCCAAAAUUGGGCUGUGAGGGGACAGUGUCCCCAAAAUUGGGCUGUGGGAGGGCACAGUGUCCCCAAUAUUGGGCUGUGCAGGGACAGUGUCCCCAAAAUUGGGCUGUGGGGGGACAGUGUCCCCAAAAUUGGGCUGUGGGGGGACAUGUGCCAGGUGUGACAUCCCCAGUCCUGUGCCACUGCCCCAUGCUGUGUUCCUGUCCCCAACCUCUCUGCCACGUCCUCUGCUCAUGUCCCUGCUCUGUCCCUAUCCCAGUGCCCUGUCCCUUGUCCCCAUCCCUGUAUCGUGUCCCCUGUCCCAUCCCUGUCCCUUGUCCCCAUCCCUGUAUCGUGUCCCCUGUCCCAUCCCUGUCCCCAUCCCAGUGCCAGCUCCUUUGUCCUGUCCCUCCUCCGUGUCCCCUGUGUCCCCGCCCUGCCACCACCCUGUCCCAUCCGCCUGCCGUGUCCCUUGUCCCAUCCCUCUGCCGUUUCCUGUCCCCACGCCCUGCCAUCAUCCUGUCCUGUCCCUCUGCCAUGUCCUGUGUCCCUGUCCUGUCCCUCUGCCAUGUCCCGUGUCCCUGUCCCCAUCCCUCUGCCAUGUCCUGUGUCCCUGUCCUGUCCCUCUGCCAUGUCCCGUGUCCCUGUCCCCAUCCCUCUGCCAUGUCCCGUGUCCCCUGUCCUGUCCCUCUGCCAUGUCCCGUGUCCCCUGUCCCCGUCCCUCUGCCACGUGCCCCUGCCCUGCCAGCGCCCCGAGGUUCUGUCCCGUGCCAGCAGCCGGUGUCCCUGCCCUGUGCUGUCACCCUGUGUCCCCAUGCCGUGCCAGCUCCAGUGUCCCUGUCCCCCUGCCAUGCCCUGUGUCCCCAUUCCCCUGUCCCCAUGUGGUGGUGGCAGUGUCCCCUGUCCUCGCCUUGUUCCAUGCCACUGUCCCCGUGCCAUGUCCCCUGUCCCCAACCUUUCCUGUGCCAUGUCCCCUGUCCCCAACCUUUCCUGUGCCACUGUCCCCGUGCCAUGUCCCCUGUCCCCACACCCUUACUGUGCCACUGUCCCCGUGCCAUGUCCCCUGUCCCCAUUCCUUUCCUGUGCCACUGUCCCCUGUCCCCGCACCCUUACUGUGCCACUGUCCCCGUGCCAUGUCCCCUGUCCCCAACCUUUCCUGUGCCAUGUCCCCUGUCCCCACACCCUUACUGUGCCACUGUCCCUGUGCCAUGUCCCCAUGUCCCCACAUCUUUCCGGUGCCACUGUCCCUGUGCCACUGUCCCCUGUCCCCACACCUUUACUGUGCCACUGUCCCCUGUCCCUAUUCCUUUCCUGUGCCGUGUCCCCUGUCCCCACACCCUUACUGUGCCACUGUCCCCGUGCCAUGUCCCCUGUCCCCAUUCCUUUCCUGUGCCAUGUCCCCUGUCCCCCCGCCCGGGACCCCACCCUCAGCAGUGCCCCUGUCCCCGUGCUGCCCCCGUGCCGUGCCAGCCCCUGUCCCUGUCC
ensembl:lncRNA